ensembl:miRNA Mir6373 microRNA 6373
AGGUGGGUGACUUUCAUUUCUGCUUUCUAAUACUCAUUUUUCAUUCAUUUUCCUGUGGCUUUAUGGGAAUAUCUAGGAGGUGAAGAUUGAGGCCACCCUCCA